rnacentral:rRNA from 1 species
GUGCUCCGUUCACUCCCAACCCCUGUGACAUACCACUUGUUGCCUCGGCGGAUCAGCCCGCUCCCGGUAAAACGGGACGGCCCGCCAGAGGACCCCUAAACUCUGUUUCUAUAUGUAACUUCUGAGUAAAACCAUAAAUAAAUCAAAACUUUCAACAACGGAUCUCUUGGUUCUGGCAUCGAUGAAGAACGCAGCAAAAUGCGAUAAGUAAUGUGAAUUGCAGAAUUCAGUGAAUCAUCGAAUCUUUGAACGCACAUUGCGCCCGCCAGUAUUCUGGCGGGCAUGCCUGUUCGAGCGUCAUUUCAACCCUCAAGCACAGCUUGGUGUUGGGACUCGCGUUAAUUCGCGUUCCUCAAAUUGAUUGGCGGUCACGUCGAGCUUCCAUAGCGUAGUAGUAAAACCCUCGUUACUGGUAAUCGUCGCGGCCACGCCGUUAAACCCCAACUUCUGAAUGUUGACCUCGGAUCAGGUAGGAAUACCCGCUGAACUUAAGCAUAUCAAUAAGGCGCGGAAUAUUAAC